GGAGAAGUACCCAAGUAGGUCGAAGGGGACGGUUUGCUAAACCGUUAGUCUGGGCAACUGGAGCAAGGGUUCGAAUCCCUUCUUCUCCG
rnacentral:tRNA from 1 species